CUGAGGCAGAGGUAGCAUUUACACUGCCAAGAAAAGAGACAGCAAAAGAAGGAUUGAAAAAUUUAGUACUGUCCACCCACUCAUUUUUUAAUCUGCGGCCAAUUUCAACCGAAUUUGAUGGAGAAGUAGAGGUUUCAAUGACACUGUGCUGCUACAAAUGCUAUAAAAAUAGACUGAGAAGAAUUCAGGUCAGUGCUACCACUGAAGGAAAAGCAAAUGUUGUAGUACAGGAAAGAAGGAUCACCAUGUCUGAAGAGAGGACACAGGUCAAAAUUUGAUGUAAAGUAGGUUUCAUUAUUUACAUUACUGGAACACCUUCUAUUGUUUACUAAUGGCAACCCACCAACCCGUAAGUCAUUUUGAUCAGCAAUCAGCUUCAUUGCACUGAAGUUCACUGCCAGAACUAUGCACAUGGAUUUAUUCAUUCCUGAUUUAUCAAAAUUUAAAUUAACCAAACACUAAUAAAAUGUCAAUGUUUUCAGGAAGGUUAGAUUCUUGGGGUUUUUCAGUAAGGAAACCACUCUAAUAAUUUCUUCAUUUUAAAAUGAUAAACAAGAGUUAAAAACUAAAUAGACUCAUGUAAGUGAAAAACAAAACAGCAAAU